UGUCAUCUACGUUGCAGGCCUCAGUGGGGUCCUGGGUGCUCAGGGCGUUGUGGGUGAGGCUGAUGUCAUAGGUGUGGCUGGCGUCACGGGUGCCCCUUGUGUCACAGGUGCCACAGGCGGCGUGGGUGAGGUUGGUGCUGCUGGUAUCAUAGCUAUCAUGGGUUCACUGGCGUCACGGGCAUCACUGAAGUCAUGGAUGAUGCUGGUGUCAUGGGUGAGGCAGGUGUUACGGUUGACACUGGUGUCACGGGUAUUGUGGGUGCCACGGGUACCAUCUGUGUUGCAGGCACCUGCGCUGUCCCAGGUGCUUAGGGCAUCGCAGGUGAGGUUGGUGUCACGGGUGUGGCUGGUGACACGGAAGCCCCUGGCGUCACGGGUGCCGCUGGUGUCAUGAGUGCCUGUGCUGUCCCGGCUGCUGCAGGCGUCACAGGUGAGGCUGGUACGGCUGGUUUCGCAGCUGUCGCAGGUGCUGCUGCUGUCAC
rnacentral:lncRNA from 1 species